rnacentral:rRNA from 1 species
UACGUAGGAGGCAAGCGUUGUCCGGAAUUACUGGGCGUAAAGCGCGUGUAGGUGGUGGGACAAGUCUGCUGUGAAAGCGCCUGGCUUAACCGGGCGAGGUCGGCGGAAACUGUCCGACUCGAGGACGGUAGAGGGGGGUGGAAUUCCCGGUGUAGUGGUGAAAUGCGUAGAGAUCGGGAGGAACACCUGUGGCGAAGGCGGGUUGCUGGGCUGACACUGACGCUGACAGCGCGAAAGCUAGGGGAGCGAACGGG